UUGGAGGGCAAGUCUGGUGCCAGCAGCCGCGGUAAUUCCAGCUCCAAUAGCGUAUAUUAAAGUUGUUGCAGUUAAAAAGCUCGUAGUUGAAUUUCGGGGUUCUACCGUUGGUCGGGCUUUGUCUGUACUGGUGUGUAGAAUUUCUACCUUCUGGGGAACCAUCAUGCUAUUAAUUUAGCGUGGUGGGAAACCAGGACCUUUACCUUGAAAAAAUUAGUGUGUUCAAAGCAGGCUUAUGUCUGAAUACAUUAGCGUGGAAUAAUAGAAUAGGACGGUGGUCCUGUUUUGUUGGUUUCUGAAUCACCGUAAUGAUUAAUAGGGAUAGUUGGGGGCAUUAGUAUUCAAUUGUCAGAGGUGAAAUUCUUGGAUUUAUUGAAGACUAACUUCUGCGAAAGCAUUAGCCAAGGAUGUUUUCAUUAAUCAAGAACGAAAGUUAGGGGAUCGAAGACGAUCAGAUACCGUCGUAGUCUUAACCAUAAACUAUGCCGACUAGGGAUCGGACGAUGUUAAUUUUUCUUGACUCGUUCGGCGCCUUACGGGAAA
rnacentral:rRNA from 1 species